AGGACGAACGCUGGCGGCGUGCUUAACACAUGCAAGUCGAGCGGAGCCUUUCGGGCGAGCGGCGAACGGGUGAGUAACACGUGGGCAACCUGCCCCAAGCUCUGGGAUAACCCCCGGGAAAACCGGGGCUAAGUACCGGAUAUGACCUUUGAAGACAUCUUCUUUGGUGGAAAGUUUUUCGGCUUGGGAUGGGCCCGCGGCCUAUCAGCGUUGUUCGGUGGGGUAACGGCCUUACCAAGGCGACGACGGUAG
rnacentral:rRNA from 1 species